rnacentral:rRNA from 1 species
AACCCCGCACGAGUCAUGUCGUGUGACCCGCACCUGAAUAUAUAGGGUGUGUGGAGGGAACGCCGGGAAGUGAAACAUCUCAGUACCGGCAGGAAGAGAUAUUCCGUGAGUAGUGGCGAGCGAAAGCGGAUCAGGCCAAACCGUAUACGUGUUCAAGCCGGCAGGCGUUGCGUAUGCGGGGUUGUGGGACCUUUCAGCUGGUUCUGCCGAACUAGCAGGGAGUCAGAAAGUCGCGUCAUAGUCGAAGGGCAUUGAAAGGCCCGGCACAGAGGGUGGUACCCCCGUAGACGAAAUGGCGUGGCCUCCCGAGAGGGAUCCCAAGUAGCUCCGGGCCCGAGAAACCUGGAGUGAAUCUGCACAGACCACUGUGUAAGCCUAAAUACUACCUAGUGACCGAUAGCGGACAAGUACCGUGAGGGAAAGGUGAAAAGUACCCCGGGAGGGGAGUGAAAUAGUACCUGAAACCGUUUGCUUACAAACCGUUGGAGCACCCCUGGUAGGUGUGACAGCGUGCCUUUUGAAGAAUGAGCCUGCGAGUUAGCGAUAUGUGGCGAGGUUAACCCGUGUGGGGUAGCCGUAGCGAAAGCGAGUCUGAAUAGGGCGAUUCAGUCGCAUGUCCUAGACCCGAAGCGAAGUGAUCUAUCCAUGGCCAGCUUGAAGCGACGGUAAGACGUCGUGGAGGACCGAACCCACUUAGGUUGAAAACUGAGGGGAUGAGCUGUGGAUAGGGGUGAAAGGCCAAUCAAACUUCGUGAUAGCUGGUUCUCUCCGAAAUGCAUUUAGGUGCAGCGUUGCGUGUUUCUUGCCGGAGGUAGAGCUACUGGAUGGCCGAUGGGCCCUACAAGGUUACUGACGUCAGCCAAACUCCGAAUGCCGGUAAGUGAGAGCGCAGCAGUGAGACUGUGGGGGAUAAGCUUCAUAGUCGAGAGGGAAACAACCCAGACCACCAUCUAAGGUCCCUAAGCGCGUGCUAAGUGGGAAAGGAUGUGGAGUUGCUUAGACAACCAGGAGGUUGGCUUAGAAGCAGCCACCCUUGAAAGAGUGCGUAAUAGCUCACUGGUCAAGUGAUUCCGCGCCGACAAUGUAACGGGGCUCAAGCACGCCACCGAAGUUGUGGCAUUGACAUUAUUGGUAGGCCUUCGUGGUCCAGCCGUGUUGAUGGGUAGGAGAGCGUCGUGUGGCCAGCGAAGCGGCGGUGUAAACCAGCCGUGGAGGCUACACGAGUGAGAAUGCAGGCAUGAGUAGCGAAAGACGUGUGAGAAACACGUCCUCCGAAAGACCAAGGGUUCCAGGGUCAAGCUAAUCUUCCCUGGGUAAGUCGGGACCUAAGGCGAGGCCGACAGGCGUAGUCGAUGGACAACGGGUUGAUAUUCCCGUACCGGCGAAGAACCGCCCAAACUAACCCAGUAGUGCUAAGUAUCUGAAUCCCAUUGACGGAUCCCUUCGGGGUGAUGCUGUGGGCCUAGCGUACGACCCCAUGCUGGUGCGGUUAGCGUGUUAACAGGUGUGACGCAGGAAGGUAGCCCAUCCCGGGCGAUGGUUGUCCCGGGGCAAGUGCGUAGGCCGAGUCGUAGGCAAAUCCGCGACUCACAACGACUGAGACACGAUGCGGAUGAAAAGUGGGUGAUCCUAUGCUGCCAAGAAAAGCAUCGACGCGAGGUUCUAGCCGCCCGUACCCCAAACCGACUCAGGUGGUCAGGUAGAGAAUACCAAGGCGAUCGAGAGAAUCGUGGUUAAGGAACUCGGCAAAAUGCCCCCGUAACUUCGGGAGAAGGGGGGCCUGAAGCGUGAACCGACUUGCUCGGGGAGCGUGAAGGGCCGCAGAGACCAGGGAGAAGCGACUGUUUACUAAAAACACAGGUCCGUGCGAAGUCGCAAGACGAUGUAUACGGACUGACGCCUGCCCGGUGCUGGAAGGUUAAGAGGACGGGUCAGCCGCAAGGCGAAGCUCAGAAUUUAAGCCCCAGUAAACGGCGGUGGUAACUAUAACCAUCCUAAGGUAGCGAAAUUCCUUGUCGGGUAAGUUCCGACCUGCACGAAUGGCGUAACGACUUCUCCGCUGUCUCAACCGCGAACUCGGCGAAAUUGCACUACGAGUAAAGAUGCUCGUUACGCGCAGCAGGACGGAAAGACCCCGUGACCUUUACUACAGCUUGGUAUUGGUGUUCGGUGUGGCUUGUGUAGGAUAGGUGGGAGACUGUGAAGCAGGGACGCUAGUUCUUGUGGAGUCAUUGUUGAAAUACCACUCUGGUCACUCUGGAUAUCUAACUUCGAACCGUAAUCCGGUUCAGGGACAGUGCCUGGUGGGUAGUUUAACUGGGGCGG